rnacentral:rRNA from 1 species
GAUGAACGCUGGCGGCGUGCCUAAUACAUGCAAGUCGAGCGAACGGACGAGAAGCUUGCUGCUCUGAUGUUAGCGGCGCACGGGUGAGUAACACGUGUAAAACCUACCUAUAAUACUGGGAUAACUUCGGGAAACCGGAGCUAAUCCCAGAUAAUAUUUUGAACCGCAUGGUUCAAAAGUGAAAGACGGUCUUUGUGUCACUUAUAGAUGCAUCCGAGCUGCAUUAGCUAGUUGGUCAGGUAACGGCUUACCAAGGCAACGAGGCAUAGCCGACCUGAGAGGCUGAUAGGCCACACUGGAACUGAGACACGGUCAAGAGUCCUACGGGAGGGAGCAGUAGGGAACGGUACGCAAAGGUGGAAAGUCUGACGGAGCAACGGGGAGCGAGUGAUGACGGUCUUGGGAGCGUAAUACCCUGCUAUUAGGGAAGAACAGAUGUGUAAGGAAAUGUGCCCAUCUUGACGGUAAUGAAUCAGAAAGCACCGGCUAACUACGUG